rnacentral:rRNA from 1 species
GAGUUUGAGGCUCGCUCAGAUUGAACGCUGGCGGCAUGCUUUACACAUGCAAGUCGAACGGCAGCGGGGGCUUCGGCCUGCCGGCGAGUGGCGAAAGGUUGAGUAACACAUCGGAACGUGUCCUUAAGUGGGGAAUAACGCAUCGAAAGAUGUGCUAAUACCGCAUAUCUCUGAGGAGAAAAGCAGGGGAUCGCAAGACCUUGCGCUAAAGGAGCGGCCGAUGUCUGAUUAGCUAGUUGGUGGGGUAAAGGCUUACCAAGGCGACGACGGGUAGCCGGCCUGAGAGGGUGACCGGCCACACUGGGACUGAGAUACGGCCCAGACUCCUACGGGAGGCAGCAGGGGGGAAUAUUGCACAAUGGGCGAAAGCCUGAUGCAGCGACGCCGCGUGAGGGAUGACGGCCUUCGGGUUGUAAACCUCUUUUAGUCGGAAAGAAAGAGUUGCAAUGAAUAAUUGUGAUUUAUGACGGUACCUGCAGAAGAAGCGCCGGCUAACUACGUGCCAGCAGCCGCGGUAAUACGUAGGGCGCAAGCGUUGUCCGGAAUUACUGGGCGUAAAGGGUGCGCAGGCGGUCUUGCAAGUCAGAUGUGAAAGCCCCGGGCUUAACCUGGGAAUUGCGUUUGAAACUACAAGGCUAGAGUGCAGCAGAGGGGAGUGGAAUUCCAUGUGUAGCAGUGAAAUGCGUAGAGAUGUGGAAGAACACCGAUGGCGAAGGCAGCUCCCUGGGUUGACACUGACGCUCAUGCACGAAAGCAUGGGGAGCGAACAGGAUUAGAUACCCUGGUAGUCCACGCCCUAAACGAUGUCAACUAGUUGUCGGAUCUAAUUAAGGAUUUGGUAACGUAGC